UCCGGUAUAGUGUAGUGGUUAUCACUCAGCACUCUCCAUGCCGCGACCGGGGUUCGAUUCCCCGUACCGGAG
rnacentral:tRNA from 1 species